CAGCCCCUGCUCCCUCCCUCCUGCCGUGGGCCUCUGCCACAGUGGCAGGCUGGCCAGGCCUUUCUGCCUCCGUGGGGCUGGCGUAAAGUGCUGGGUGCCUGGGAGGGAGGCUCAGGCUCGGGGUGGGGUCUGCAGGGAAGCCCGCUGCCCCAGGGGCCCUUAUUUGAGGAUGUAGUUGAUGAAGAGCUGACAAGCCAGGAAGACGCAGAGCAGGAACCAGGUGCGGGGGCUCUGCAGGAGGCCGGGGGCGGGCUGCCCAGCCUGCACCACGGAGCUCAGCAUGGCCGACAGGUGCCUGCAACACAGGGCGGGAGGAGGGCUGGGGCCAGCAUGGCCGCCCUGCCUGACAGUUCCAGGGCCUCUAACCUGCAAGACCUCACAGUCUCCCCGGGCAGCACCCUGGCCCAGGUCUGUGUCGGGCCCUGUAGGUCCCGUCUCUGACAACACAGGAGCUGACGCCCUGGUGGACAGGCCUUUACUCAUGGCCCUGGGACACUCGCUGUCCCAUGUCCCACUCCUGGAACAUUUCUGCCCUUUGGUGUCCUGUCCCUGGUAGGUUUCAGGAGCCAGAGAGGAGCCACAAGGACAGCAGAGCCCAAAUGCUCGCCGGGUGCCUGAGGGGAUCAGCCUCCAGCCUCACCCACUGCUCCAGGUGUUUUGCCAUCAACUCCAUUUUAUAGAGGUGGGGGCUGAGGUGUGACAGGGCAGGGUCCCCAGCCAGGGAGUCCCUCAACCCAGACUGGAGCCCGGCAUGAGCUGGACACUGUUCUGCUCCACCUGUGGUGGCCCAGAGGGUGCCCACCCACCAGGGACACAGAGGGUGGCUCUGGGGCCCUCCUUGCCUGCUCACCUGCCCAGCUGCACCUGCGGGUGCCAAGGAGGGGCUACUCCUAUACUCCCUCCUCUGAGCUGCCAUCUGCCUCCACAAACCUUGGGGUCCUCCCUGGGGCUACUCAGAUUUAGACCUGGGCCCUCAAAAUCUCUGGCCCAGUUUCUGUUAAACUGUGAACUCAUUCUGUUGAGACCCACUGUCUGCAGGGACCCCUCACUGGCUCCCAAGCGCAGCUCCGGAAUAGAGCCGUGUGCCUCCGGCCUGCACAGCUGGCCUCCCCCCACUUGCCCUGGCUGGGGGCCGGCCGCCUGGCCUACCUGUGCAGCUCCUCCUGGGCCUCCCGGAUGGACAGCACGGCCUCCCGCAGUGCCUGCAGCUGCUGUGCCUCCCUCCUGCACCGAGGACAUGGGCUGUCAUCAGCUGCACACCCCAGGCACAGGCAGACACAGGAAGGAAGGGAGAAGCAGGAGCCUGCGCUGUGUCUCCCUGUGAGAAGCUUCUCCCAAGCUUGGCUCCACCUCCCACCUGCAGGGGCCUCCCUGUGGAGCUGACGGUCACCUGACGGUCACCUGCCAGCUGUGUUGGGGACCCCUCCCUCCAGCUGUCCCUGCCAGGACACAUGGUCUGCCACAAGGGGUCUGCUCUGGGGUCUGCCUGCCUGCCUGGCCAGGCGAGGCUUUGGUCAGUGGCGUCCUGUGGGGCCAGGCGGUCUCACCUCUCAGACUCCAUCUCCAUCUGCUCCUCAAACAGCACCGUGUGGCGCUUCAGGCUCUGCCUGCGGACCUCCCUGCUGGGGGUCCAGAAGAG
ensembl:lincRNA